AAGAAUGUUGCGGUUCUUGGUUCCUGAUAGGCCCCUCAAGGCUGAACCUCCUCACAUGUUGGAGCUUUAAAGAUACAGCUGUAUCAGGCCAGGCGUGGUGACUCAUGCCUGUAAUCCCAGCACUUUGGGAGACCGAGGAGGGAGAUCGAGACCAUCCUGACUAACAUGGCGAAACCCCAUCUCUACUAAAAAUACAAAAAAUUAGCCAGGCUCGGUGGUGUACGCCUGUAGUCCCAGCUACUCAGGGGGCUGAGGCAGGAGAAUCGCUUGAACCCAGGAGGUGGAGGUUGCAGUGAGCUGAGAUCGCGCCACUGCACUCCAGCUUGGGCCACAGAGUGAGACUCCAUCUAAAAAAUACAGCUGUAUCAAAUCUGCUUGUGCUUUGGCCAUCUGAGAGAUCUUAAGUGUGCAACGCAAUGAGGAUGGAGCAACGUAUACACCAAUCAAGACAAAGAACAUGUCCAUUACCCCAAAAAGUUCUCUUACACCCGCUUCCAGGCUAGAGUGCAGUGGUAGGAUCUCGGCUCACUGCAGCAUUGACCUCCUGGGCUCAAGCUAUCCUCCCACCUCAGCCUUCUGUGUAGCUGAGACCGCAGACGUGCAUCACCAUACUUGGCUAAGUUUUGCAGAUGUAAUUCACUGAAACACGACUGAUAGACCCCGAAGAAGAAAAGGGCCGAAUAUUAUUUGGGUCAAGAAUACUUUACUCGCAGGAAGCAAAAACAUUCUGAAAGGUUCCAAAUGAAAGAAGACAUCUGAUGGGCAAUGUGUAAAUCACUGGGCUAAUCUGAUUUUGUUAUGCACUUACACCUGUGAUUCCGGAUGUCAAACUUCGCAAGUCCUUUAUCCCUUGAAUUUUCCUAUAAAAUACCAUUGAAAGAGGGAAAGAAGAUGGCUAGUGGACACUUUUCUACACCAUCAAUGUAGAAGGCAACUGAUCCUGAGCACACGUCUCCAUGGCGGCAGGAGUCAUUGCUUUUUAGAUCACAUUCUCCGAGCAAGAGCCGAGAAAUCGAUAUCUCUCACAAGGCUGUAGACGUGCUGGAACUGAUUAGUCAUUAACCUAUUGUCACUCCUCCCAGCGCUCAUGGAAGGAGUUGCAGCAUGUCAAUGGAUUUUAAAAGAGUACCAGGAUUAAACUUCUCCAUGGCAGUGGGCAUUUGUGAAAGGUCUGUUCUGAAAUACCAGUACCAUCUUCUCACAUGUUAAGGGCCAAAAAUCUCAGUAAGU